UCCAAUUUUUGUACAGAUUAUAUAUCUUCGGAUAUCAACGGCCUAAUUUUAAUAACAACGUACCUCCUUCUCAUCAAAAAUUUUUCCAUUGCAACAUGCAGGCCAUGUUCCAUCAUUGUAAUCAGGCCAUAACCCAUCUAUCACACAAGCAAGAGAAUAUAAAUUUUGAGGUCUACAUACAUCAAACUAUUUUAACUGAUAUCAGUACAUGAGCAUGCUCAACUUUAUUUUAUUCAUCAAAUAUUGAAUCAUUUACAGAAACGUCAAUUUGAUUAUAGAGUUUUUCAAAUAUCGUGUUGUAGGGCAUUGCACCAUUAGAAAAUUGUCUUCAGCUUCUUCAAAAAUCACAUGUUUACUGCUUGUUUCACUCACUGUCAAAUGUAAUGUCAUAAAUUGAAAAAUAUUUUGAAAAUGAGAAUGAUUGAGAUGCAUGAAGAUAUUAAAAUCGUGUGUAUUCUUAAAAUGUAUUGUUGUCGUAUCUAUAUAUCGCCAUUCUGUGUCAGGUUGUUUGUGCUUCUUAGUUUGGAAUUGUAAAAGCAACGCAAUCGUAUCUUCAACUUACGAAUUGUAAAGUCACCAAAAGCACCAGAUCUACCAUAGAAGAGAGAAAAUGAAUGUAAGUUUGUGAACAAUGAAAAAGAACAUCCACAGUAUUUAGAACUCUCAAAAAUAUGAAAUACAAGUUACAACAGAUAGACAAAACUUUAAAUUCUUAUUCUAUCAAUGGUCUCUAGUAACCUUUUUCUUAGCAACUUUUUGGUGUCAUCCCUGUUAUUCCUUGCCUAAUGGCAAAAACAUGAAACGCAGAUGUUGGUGCGAAAGGAUGCUCAAAUUUAAUAAAUCCAUGAAAGGUUAUUGGACAGCUACUACAACUUAAAUGUAUUAAACAGACUUACAUUCAAUAACCAACAAGAGAGAUAUUUUUAUUACAUUCAAUAAAGAGGAACCUGGAAGAAGCCUAAUUAAAUAUAGAGUGAACACGAUAUCCUAACAAAAUGAAUGAGGCAAACCCUUUUGUUCAUACAUAAAGCCAAUCAUUCUCAAUGAGACACUAAUCAUUUCCUUUUCUAGCACAAAAAGUUAAAAGGUCCAGCAUCUCUCCUAUAGAAGAAGACUUGCAAAAUGAAUCGAUGACACAAAAGGUAGACAUUAUAAACUAGAGAAAUUGUGGGUGACCAAUCUAGGAUAUUUAAAGGAUGACACACACACACUUUUCCCAAGAUAUGAAAAUCAGGCGUAUCAGCACUUUUUGCCAUUUCACUUUGAUUCCCUAUCACCCACCAAAAUCAUAUCCAACAAUUGAGCGAAAAGAAGGCGGAAGUCACGAAGACGCAUGAUACACAAACUCAGUAAUUUCUACCUCUUUUGUACAUCAAGCAGCAUAACAAAAUAGAUAAUUUUACAGCAAAUAACAACCAAACAGAAUCCUAAAACAAAAGGGAAGGACGAAUUAAGCAUCAUUCUAAAGGGGAUAUAUCUAAUAUCUAAAUGGUCGGAAAAAUAGAAGAGACAGUCACCGAUUACAACAUCCGUUGGAGGAACAACAAUGGCGAGUGCCCUUGCAGACAGUACCAGGCCAUUGUAGGGCCAAUUUGAAGUAAUCGAAUUCUCUCUGCUCUUGACCGUCCUUGGUGUGGAAAAUUAUGGCACCUGAAGCAUGAUUGAAGGGAGUUGAUGAAAUAAAGAUGGUGAAUUGAAGAAGAAAUAAGAUGGGAAUGGCGGAGAGGGAGAGCAUCGUGAUCGGCAAAUUGAUCCACUCCCCAAAAAAACGACGAGGACUCCGUGGAGACCAAAAAUGAUAAAUAUAUUAAUAGAAUACAAUUAGCAAAGGCAACAAUCACUUUAUUUGUUUCCAACCUUUGAGGGUAUAAUACACUUUGUAUUAUCUUCUCAUGUAAAACUUUCUAUUAUAAGUUUAGUGUUUCGUCGUUGAUGUGACUUUUUUACUGAUAGGAAUGCAUAUUAAGAAAAGAAACACUUUAUAUUACCAAUGAUAUAAAAUUUUGCUACAUCUUCAAUCAAGGUCGAAAGCAAACGAGAAAAUUGAUAGUUAUUUAGCUUAAACAAAAUUUUAUUUAGAUAAAUACGACUAAAACAAAAUCAGACAAGUCUUUUUUAAAAGAAAAUGAGAUGUACAUAAUUACAAAUUUGGAGCUAUAUGAUGACAUGCUUUUGUUGCACGAUCCUAAAAAUAGUUUAAUUUUCAUUAUAGAAUCUUAUUUUAUAUGAUUUAAAAUAAGAUAUUUAGAUCGUAUAAAAACUAUUUGGUACGAGAUAUUUUGUAAAUAAGUAAAUUUAUAAAAACUAUUUAAAUUAAGAAUUGAUUUGUUUGUAUAGAUAUUGAUUGAUGUGUGUAACAAAAUAUUUUCUCUAACUUUUAGUAGGGAAGUAAUUUUAGAAUUUUAAUGUAAUAUAUUUAAUUUUGACGUAUAAAUCGAACAAUCCAUCUUUCCUUCUAUAUUGAUGUUUCUCUAUUACUUGAACUAAUUCUUAAGUAUCUUCAAUUGAAUUACCGUUGGAUCCAAUUCGGAAUUAUUCUUUAUGCCCCGGAUUACGUCCCUGGUCAUUAGAUAGGAAUCCGAAAAUGAAGAGAGAAACAAAGAAUAUUACUACUGUAUAAACAAAUAGUUUGAGAGUAAGCAUUACACAAUCUCCAAGAUCAUUUUUUUUUUAAGAGAAUAGAUUCUCUAUUUUAAUCUGUUUUGACACCAAGAAAUGCAGUGAAGUUAUUUCUAGAAAUAGGAAAAAAUUUAAAGAGUUGAGUCCUUGAUUACUCAAAAUUGGAUUUCAUACCCACAAUUCUAUAUUGUGGGGGACUCUAACAGGGUCGUUCAAAGGAAAAAAGUAAGAAUAAUAAAAUGAGAGUGAUCCAGAUUUAUCAAAGCUAUAGAAGAAUUUCUAUAUUGGAUUCAACUUAAAGCUUCAGACUGUAUGUACAACUUAUCUGAUCUUAUAACUAGUUAGAAUCUUUUUUUUUUUUUCCUAGUAAAUCAUGAAUUUGUCUCGGACAGUAUUAAAAAUAUUAUCGAAAGCUUACAGCAGCUUGCCAAACAAAAGCUAAUAGAAAAAAGAAUAGAGGUAUUACUGGCAUAACAUCUACUAUUGGAUUCAAAAAAGCGUAGGCCUCGGGCAAUUUGGCGACGAAAAAACUACUUGAAUAAAGGAAAGAAUUAAGACAGAUACCGAUGAAACUUAAGAUAUUGUAUCAUUCUUGAGUUAGUUCUAAAAUAACCGACUUUAACAAAUUUUUGUAAACUUCAAUCUAUAAAAGGCUGGUCCAUUAUUCAUAAAUUUCCUCAGCUUUACAAGAUUACUUUUGUCCCUUCAAAUAAUCAAAUACCUUACCCUUUAUUCCCUCAAAUCACUACACACUGUUUAUGAUCAACUUGUCUUAAAAUAAAUCGAAUGAGGUCCUUUUUUCAGGAUUACAUCAUUUUAAGUCUAUCCUUCACAUAAGACUAGAAAAGAGUUGUGAUUAUUUGAAUUACCAUAAUUAGUCUAUAAAUUAGAUUUUUAUUUUUUUUCAAUCACUUUUCUCACCACAAUUGAAAAGAACUUUGAUGUUCAAUUUACUUUUGAUUCGUUUGAUCUUGUAGACAAGACCCUACAAUGGAAACAUGGACAGUAAGGUAAAGUUGUCGAAUUCAUUGAAGUAAUGUAUUUUAAAUUGUAUAAAGAGGGCUGAGACAUUGAUAAAAGAAUUGUAAUACAAUAUAAAUUUGAAAUUUGAAAUUAAAACAGUAAGUUAAUUGAAAUAAAAGUAGCCUUAAACAUAUAUAAAAUAACACUCUCGAACAAAUCACCUCAAAAAUUAAUAAUUACACAAUUCAAAAAAGGUAACAUCAUAGAAUUAGCAUAAAGAUCAGUCAAAUGUUUGUGUAAAUAAUAAGAUGUUUCAAUAGAACCUCCAACAGUUGUUACAAAGACUUGAAAAUCAAUAAAGAGAAGAAUAAACAAUUUUCAAUUCUCAUCACUGAAAAAACCAUCACUUGUAUAUAUGAGCUAAAAAGAGAACAAAUUAUCAAAUUCCAUUUUCUAUACAUAUUUCCCCUUUGAUACCAUCAAUAAAAAUUACACAUUCCUGGCUGAUUAGUUAUUUACAUUCUAGGAAGGAAUUCAGUUAGUUAAAAAGUGAUACCGAUAAAAGAAACACAAUGGGAAGGGUGAACGAGAGAGAGAGAGAGAGAAUGAGAUAUGGAGAGAGAAUUUUCUAGCCUUCUACCUUCGUUUGAAAAACCGAAGACGAAGAAAUGCUACUUCAAACUACAACUCGAAAACGGUCUAGGAAAUGAAGAAGAAUAUAAUGUUACAUGUGGAAGGUAUCCAUCAAAUGAAUACCAUAAAGAAACUGAGGAAAACAACCAGUCCUGCAAAUCGCUCAUAUUUAUAUAUCAGACCCCAUUGUUUGUUAUGUUACAAAAGUUCAAUUCCACCAAUAUUUUUUUUCUUUUUUACAUUUGCUUCCACAUACCCUAAAACUGGUAAAUUCACCCUCAUCAGAAGCUACUCUGCACGAAGAAAGAAGAACUAUCAUAACACUCAAAAGGGUCCAGGAAAAACCAAAUAUGAAAAGGCAAGAGAAUAAGAAAAUAAUUAAAGCUCAGUUAGGAUACUACUGUCUCUAAGGCAUGCAUUAUACCAAAUGGAAUUGUGAAGAAACUUAUAUAAAUGGUAGUUUCAGCAUGUCCCAACUGAAUGGAUUUAGCUCCCCUACAAGUAAAGGUUGAGAAGAGCAGAUAAACGUUUGCAGAGUUAUCGGCUGGACUCAGUUAACCCCAAAUUUCUAGAAAUAUAUGCCCUACUAAACUUAGCAUACUUCAGGCAAACACAACAGGCAUUAAGGAAGUGCAAUUACUACAAAUGACAAAGAAAUCAACACAAAAAAAAAAACAGAAACACUUCAAAAGAAAACUCAAACAAAGAAACACUUUGCAAAGAAUGACUUAAAAUAACGAUCUCUUUUAUUAGGCACUUUGAUUAAUACGCAUGCUUAGUAAUUUCCCUUCUCCUUAACUAUUGCGUUCCAAGUUUCAUCUUAAGAGAAUACCAAUUGUUAAAGUAUCAGACAAAAAACCACACGACAAAGACAAGGAUGAAAGAAAAUCACCCAAUACCCAUGCCAAGUCACCCAAGAUUAAGAAAAAGAACUAUAUUUCUAAACUCAGAAUCAAAAGAAGCCUAUAAAUACAUAAACAAAAUUUCAAAACAUUAUCUAAUUAAACAAGUCUAGAAUCCAUUUUUUCUAAACCCAUACAUCAAAGACAAAAUCAAGGUCAAGGUGGUUAUUCCAUAAAAAUACCCAAGGUGCACACGCACAUAUAUCCACAAUAUGUUAGAGGCAUUUAAAAUAUCAUAAAAAAUUAAUAUCAAUUUUUUCAUCUCUGAAAUAGCUUGGUCUUCUUUCAUCACCCUCAUCUCUCAGCUACUCUUAUCCUUCUCAAUUCCAUAACACAUCUUUUAGUUUGGGUAUUGCAACUCCACCAUGGCUACAGGUGCUGCCAGUAAAAGUUGAAAGAGAACUAAAGUAUGUUUCCUAUAUAGAAGGAUGGUUUUAACUUUAACACCCAGAGUUUUCCAUUGACUCUAGACCCCAUGGUAGUAACUUAAUUCCGUGAUGCAUUUUUUUUUCUGAAGCUAGUCCAUAAGUUUCCCUAGUCACCCUUGAAGGGGUGAUCCAAAACACAUUGAUCGGAUCCAUUCUAUAGUACCACAAGAAAGAGCCAAUUUCCAUCUAAAGGCACUGAAAAUUUCUGUCCAUAAAGCAUGAGAAAAAAUUGGCAGUGAAAAAAGAGAUGGUUCACUGAUUGGAAGCUGUUCUGAUAUAGACGACACCAAUAAGGAGACCAAGAAAUCCACAGGCAUCUUGCUUGUAGCCAAUCCAUGGUAUCAAGGAAAAUAGGGAUGGAGAUUCUAACUUCUAGUCUUUUGGUCCAAAAUAUAUGUCUUAAGUAGCUGAGUUAUGCUUCAGUUAGCUAGUUAGAUAAUAUCUUAUCCAAUUGUUUUAGGCUGCUCAAUGAUACAGAAUUGUUUUUUAAUCAUAUGGACCUUUUUCUACUUCUACAACGAGAGCUUUAUCUUGUCUUGUUUGAAACAAUCAGACACACUGGUUCUAUCAUCUUUUGGUCCCACAAGCUCAAAAAUUCUACAACCAAACUUCAAUCAAAACUUUCCUAAGAUUCCCCCGAAACCUUCCACCCAACCUUGUAAAUGCCUAUGCCUACAGAAACCAUAACACCUCCUUUCUACCUUCUAAACCCACUGGAUAGAGAAGCAAUUCCAAUCUACCAACCACUACAAUUUGAUAACUUUUCCACAAUCCACACACACAGUACUAUGGUUAACAAAAGACCCUGCAAAAGCUCCACUGGAGUAUACUACACCAGAGAAAAAGCUUCCUUCCGUGCAAUCUAAUGUAAAAAGGAACUUAGGUCUAGGAACUUGCCCAGGAACCCUUCAAAAAACUAGAGGAAGAGAAACAACUUAAUUUCCACAAUACAACAGAUAAAAAUACAUGGAAUCUCUUGCAUUUUGAAAAGAAAAAAAAAAUUAUUAAAUUUAAAAUAAAAAACCCUUAAUUUCUUUUAAGGCAUUCUAUGGAGCCUGGGAGACACUGGGCAUGCUAGGUUCCAACCCUCUUUGAUACCUAGUCCAGCACAUUUCGAAGGUAUACUCCUAAGUAGGCAACUAUAGUUGAGAUGUCUUUUUGUAGACUCUUAAUGAAAAAGUUUCAGUUUAUAUGGUAGUUGGGUGUUAAUGCUUCUGUGUGCGAUCCUAUAGGAGCAACAGUUUUAUGAUGCAACUUUUCAAGAUUCGUUGACUUUUUGUAGUUGGUUCUUGGACUGCCUUUUUGAGUUGAGCUUCAUUUCUUCUAUGUUGAGUGCAUCUAUUUUUCUCAAUGGAAGUUCAGUUUCGUAUUAAAAAAAAUCAUCUCCAAAUGAAAAGGAAAAUAAAAAAAAACCAUGAAUGCAAAAAAACUUUAAUCAAAUGAAGAACAAUUGAAUAUAUAAUAUAUUUGAAAAAUAUAAAUAUACCUCAAGUAUUUUUGACAACAUUAAGUGAAAAUUCCACCAAUCUUUCUACAACCAUACGAGGAAAUAAAUGACCUAGAUUAUUCCACAAUGUCAGCCCGCUACCUUUAUCACUCCCAUUUCUUCAAUUUUUGAGGCCUUAUGCUGCAAAAAGUAAAUGCAGAAGGCUUUUAGUUGGAUAACUAUAAAUUGAAAAGUCAAAACAUGAAUUAAGAAGAUAAAAGUUGACCCGGAUAAUUGCUUCGCAGUGCAAGCAUUCUAGAGCUGGAAAAAAAUGGACUUCGUAUUACCUUACUUUUUUUGUGCCUAUGAAUGUCAUUAAUAUCAUCUUCCCCAUCAUGCUUCCUUUUCUGAAAAUUAAGAGAAGUUAGAAAUUAAGAACCAGCUUAUUUGGCUACAUGCACAACAAUUAUAUAUUAGUUUGGAAGUAAAACACAAAAAAACUACUUAAUCCUUAAUUUUUAAGAGAGAAAAAUGGUACAAAUUAAUUAACUUUUCAAUUCUCCAUCCUCAAGGCAAAUUAAGGAUUUAAUAAUCUAGAUCCAAUGGAAAAAAAAACAUCAGUGGAAGGGAUAAUCUUGUAACCUUAACAACAAACUAGGAAAUGGGAUAAACUAAAAAGUCCAUAAUGUUAAUGUCAAUGACAAUCUACCCCCGGACCAUCCCACUGUUAUCAAGUCUUGGUAGCUGGUACUUACAAGGGAGCUGGAAAAGAGUAAAUGUUUACCAACCUUUUCAUGAUGCUUCUUAGAAUGAUCAGCACCAGAAUCUUGAUGGCCACUUUUUUCUUUCUUCUUGUCCUUGUCUUUAUCCUUACUCCGGUCUUUAUGUCGAUGCUUGUGCUUCUUAUGCUCUCUAUCCUUCUCCUUAUCUCUAUCCUUGUGCUUCUUGUGCUUUCUGUCUUUAUCUUUGGACUCACUUUUUGACUUCCCUGGAAUAGUAGGAACACCCUUCUCGGCCUAACCAAAGAAAAAAAAAUGGACCCAUCACUUGCAGAGAAAAGAAUCAGGAUGAGAAAUGCUGAUAAUCAGACCCGUUGCCUUGGUAACAUCUAAGUUCCAUCUGAUGGAAGAAAGCUGAAGAAAGUGGCUCAUUUCAACAAUUCUAAUAAUAGAUUUCUUACAGAAGGCAGAUCAACAGGACCAGUUUCCCUCAGUUGGAAGGCUUCUAUGAGAAUAUCUUGAUCAAAUGGCUGUAUGCGGGCAUUAGUCUCUCUAGGGUAAGAAGUAUUCUGUAUGAGUUGAUUCAACUGCAUCCCUUCUCCUUUUCUAAUUUCUGUGUCUCCAACCACGUUAUGAAGAUAAUGUGUGUCCGAAAUUGACAAUGGAAGUGACUUCUUGCAGAAAAAAUCAUGGUGAGGUAACAGCUUGUAGUGACUUAUAAGAUCCACAGCACCAGUUAGUUCCCUAGGUCCUAAAGGUACAAAUAAAAAUACACCGAAAUUCAGGUGAAAAGAUUAUAAAUAUAGAUAGAAAAUGAACAGGAUGGAUAAAAAAACAGUAUAACUUGUACUUCCGUGUUCCUUUCCAUUACAUUGAAAUCAAAGCAAUAAAAAACAAUAUACUAACGAAAGAAAGAAAAAGCUAAGUGAUAGGAAAAAAUCAAUUGAAGAUUUAAAAUGUACAACAUGGAGAGACAAAAGGAGCUAUAGUAAUUAUAUUCAUAAAAAUAAACAAAAAUAAAGAAAGAAUUGUUUUAUUUUAUUCCUGGGGGGUAGAAGGACUGCAUAAGUAAUAUUAAACCAUUGCAGAGAAAAACCAUAUUGCUUUAAAGAAAAUAGAGAACCUUGAAAGAUUCUCUCUUCAGAAAUCCUGAAGAUCUUAAAAUGAAAUUUUCAUGGCAUGGCAUAGAUCAUAUGCAAUUUUAGGUGGAAACUGCUUAGAGUUUAGCUCAAAGUCAGGUACAGAACUCAUUCACUUACUGCAAUGAACACUCUGUCUCAAUGUCUUUUCAGUACAAAUCCAAAAUUCAAGACACUUCAAGUUCUCAAUUACAGAAAGUCCUUUCUUGUCUCACUUUGAGCUCCCAGUUAUAGGAAGACCUUAGUAAGACAUGGGCCACUUUUCAUUGCUCAAGCCUAAAAGAGAGACUAAAUAAAGAACUAUCAAGUCAUCAUAGCUCACUUCCAACAUGUAGUGUUCCUUGGACUAAAUUCAGACAUGAAGAAAGAUUAAAAAAUAACAGUAUUGACGAGAUUAACAACUAUAUCUUCUUUUGUGGUAGAAGAAGAAUGGUAUGAUUUGAACAUUGAAGGUGAUUAAUACUGAGCCUUUAGUUAAUAUAAUCAAGAAGAAAGAUAGGAAAUAUACUGAAAUAAUUCCAGAAACUAAUGAAAGUUAGACUUUGACAGAUAGGAAAUGAGAAGCAAGGAUGGCUUCAUGAAAUAUAGGUGAGCCUUUCCACUCACUCAAUCUUACAAGAAUCUUCUAUAACAUAUGGGCCCAAGCCACCCAACAGAGGACAGGAACUCCUCCAAGGGAUAAGUAAAAAGUAAACAGGUCAAAAUAACAACCCCACACAAAACUAACUCCAACUCCCCCAAGAUACCGUUGCAAUGUUUGGAAAGGAUUAAAAAGGGAAAGGAGAAGAGCAGACCUCUUUGCCUGUCUCUAGUUGGCAAAAUAUUUACAUCUAGAGCAUGUUUACUUCCAAGGGCAUGUUUUUAGGGAAAGGCUUUUAAUGUUUUCAGAUACAUCAAAGAUAACACAAGGGCAUGAUUUCACCCAAAAAAGGCAUGUCAUUUAGGAUAAUAUAGUAUCAUCAGAAAACAUCCAGAGAUUUCUAAACGUAAAACCAUCAAAUGUAUAUACCUAGCUACGUCUCACUCUUCAAACAUGCCAUAGCACAGGGGAAAAGAGACUAAAUUGACAAAAUAUAUCAACAGUUACCUCGGCCAAAUUUCUUAUCUUCAGAUUCCAUGUAUCACUUUUCCUUGGGACAAUGUAACAUUAUAACUGCAAUCAUAAAACCCCAAAAAGUAGUGAGAUUAGAAUUCCGAGCUAACAAACAUAAAAAUGCUUUGAACUUGUUCGUUCAACAGAUUAAAACUUAAAAGGAACAAUCAAACAGAGAAGGCUAAAACCCAUGGCUUAUAUAAAAGAAAAGGGAAGUGAAUCAAAUCUGGGUUUUCUUUCGCACGAGUCAAACAGAGAAAUAACGCACAAAUAUGCCUAACUCCAUUGGACAUACUCAUAAAACAAAAAAUAUAUAUAGGAGUUACGAAUACACACAUGAUGUGUUAUCACUAAAUGGUUUGCUUAAAGGAGGACGUAAAUAUAAUUAGGCCAACAUAAGCGUAGCUUAGCAAUACUCCUUCCUUGAGGUUGGAGGUUCAAACUCCCAUACCCCACCAUUUCUUUUACUAGAAGAAGUUAAUUUAUCAGAACUUGGAGGACUAAUUGGGUCACUACAAAAAAAUUCUAAUAUAGAAAAACAUCCAGAACAUUUUGUAAGUUUGUUAGCAAAUCAUGCACACAACAAAUCCAAAACUUGAGCCAUAAAAUCUAUCCAAAAACCAUUAACUAAGAGAGAUACUGGUUACAAUUUUGAAAAGAAUUGUAUCAAGAAGACAAGACAGAAACUAGCCCAAUCCCUAUAUUGACCCCGCUAAAACCACUGUCAUCCAAAAGAAAACAAGAAAUACAUCUGAACUCGAAGCCAAGAAUAAAACAAGCAGGAAACAUAAUUUCAGAAGAACCCCAACCCCAACCUCAACCUCCAAAAAAAACGUCUCCUUCUUCAAAUUCAACGAGAACCAAGAACCCCAAAAUUCGAAACACCCAAUUCAGCUCAAGCAGAAAAAGAGCCAGGAGUGGCAGCAAAAAAACCCUAAAGACAGCAAUCAAUCACAGAACUGAAAACCCCGGGAUUGAGGGGGGGAGGGGAAAAAAAGAGAAAGGGCAGUGCUUAAAACAAGAAACAACUCAAAAGCAAUCCAUUAGAGAAGCAAAGAAAAGAAAAGGAACCUGGGCGGAAAAGGGUAGAAGAAAGGGAAAGAGGCGCCGGGAAAGGAGAGGGGAUUGAAAGAGCGAUCGAGAAAAAGGGGUGACGAGGAUCGAAUCGAAGAAUGAGAUGGAAUUGAAGGGAAAAGGGGUUGAAGAAUGGUGUGUGAGGAGAGUGAGGAAGUAGCUCCGGCGGCCGGGAACGGCGGAGAGAGAGAAAGGGGAGGGAGGGAGGGGGAGAGAGAGAAUUGAGAUCGGGGAAGAAGAGAGGAGAAAGAAGAGAAGAGGGGGGGGGGGGGGGGGGGGGGGGAGGGCAGUGAAUAAUACUGCAAAUAACCCUUUGCCACAUCUACAAAUGGACCGUACAGUGGACUUUUAAUACAAAUGGUCAAGGGCUAAGCCCUUCCUUUGGAACUUCCCCUCUUCUCUUUCCUUUCCUUCCCUUUCCUUUCUUGUAAAUUCUCAUUUUUAUUUUCACCUUUUUUUAAAAUAACAAAACCAAAAUUAUUUAAAUAAACAAACAUUUUUUUCUCUUUUCAAAUCUUUCUAUUUCAAUAUUUAUAUUUAAUAAAUUUAAAAUAAAGUUUCACUACCUUAUUUUCUCUUCUAAAAAGUAAAUUUAAAAUUUUACUUACGGAUAAGUAUUGUUAUUAACAUGUAAGUCAGUAUUUAAUGAAAAAUAGAGGUUACAAACGUAAAAUUUUAAAAUUUAUAGACUAAACUAAAAUAAUAUUCAAAUUUUAAGAUCAAAUUCAAGCGUUUUGAUAUUAAAAACUAAAUUGAAACUAAAAUCAAAACUUUAAAAUGAAAUGUGUAACAUUUUGAAACCUAUGAACUAAAUAAAAAUUAAAUUCAAAAUCUAAACCUUAGUACUUUAAUUGAGAUCGAUUGUGAUGUUGUUACCAAUGUGAAGUUUUAGUUGUCAAAAUGAUCAUAGCUCAAGUGACAUAGAGUUUGUCUUUAAAAUUAGAGGUUUGAUUCUCUCUCCUUACGUAUUGUCUAAUAUACAUAAACUAUAGUGUUGAAGGUUUGAAUUAAUACAACUUUGAAAUUUAAGGAUGUAAACCAUUAUUUUGGCAAUCGCUUGACUUUUAACAUUGUGUUCGCUUAUUUAGUCUACGUAUUUCGAUGGUUAUGUGCCUGUUUUUAUAGUACAACAAAAGUGGGUGAGAGAUCAAAUCUCCAACUUUUAAGAAGAGAAAUCAUGUCGUUUAUCAUUGAGCUAAGAGCUUUCUGUUUUGUAAGCAUUCAAUGUUAAAAAGUAUUAAUUACGUUCUUAAUUGAAAGGUGAGGAAUUUAUGGAAUGGUUUUUAAUUCCUAAACAAAGUUAUAAGUUUUUUAAAAUAUUCAAUUAACUGCCAGUAAAAAAAAUAUGAAAUAAUUGACAUGUAUUUUCUUUAAGAACGUGGGAAAAAAAAACUAUUCACAAAAUAGAGGUAAAUCUGGCCAAUUCUAUAUAGUUUUUUUUUUUUGUUAUAUUUUAUAAAUAGUUUCAAUUAUUUGUUAUCUAUAAAAUUUCAUCUAAAAGAAAUUUAACUAUGUGGUAUAGGUAAAAAGAUAAAUAUCAAAUUUUGAAUUAAAAUAAAAUGUUCUAUAUAAAGUCGGGAAACAAUAACUUUCAUAAGAAAAAAAAACUUGCUAACGAAAAAGAAUGUGCACCUAAUUAAUAUAUUUAUAUAUAUAUAUAUAGUAAUUUUCAAUUCUUUUAAGUUUUUCUUGAAGCUUUUGUUAACUCUACUUUUCACACCUUCACAAUCUCUCUCUUUCAAAUGUGAUAUCAGUUUAUUCAUAUCUCACUCAUGGAUUCAUAGCAUUACAAGUUUCGACAAAGGAACAAGAUAAAUCAUAUACAUAUAUAACAUCUUAUUUAUUUACAAACAUUACAAUAUAUAUAUAUAUACAAUUCUUCUUUUUUGCUAUAAUUGAAAACAUUUUCGACGGUUUUGUCAUAUAAAAUAAGAAGAAGAAAAAAAUUAAAUAUGAUAAUGAUUAUCCACGUUGUGGAACUAAUCAGAAAGUUAAAACUGGCAUAGCUUAGCUUACAUAGUAUUUGUAUAUUAACCUCAACUAACAUAUAUAGUACUAUUUGUCGAAAAAAAAAAAACAACUUUUUUAUUGAGCUCGAGCUCUAUCAAUAUUAAUUUCAACUAUUAUGUAACAUAGUUUUAUUGGACUAGUUCAAAUUUAUAUUGAUUUUAUGGCCGUGAACAAGGUUCAUUAUUUCAUCAAUCUCUUUUCAUGUUUUUAAAUAUAAAAUACGGUAAUUUAUUAUUCGGUUAUUUUCAAGUAUAGCAAAAUGAAUUAGAAUAUUUAUAAAACAUCAUAGUUUAUCUAUAAUAGAUGAAGAUAGAUUAAUAUAUUUUCAAGUAGUAUAUUUUAGUCUAUCGUGAUUUAUCAUAUAUAUAUAUAUAUAUAUAUAUAUAUAUAUAUAUAUAUAUAUGGAUAUAUAGAUUGUGAUAUUUUAUUAUAUUUUAAAUAUCUCACAGUUAUAAAUAAUUUUUGAUAAAUUUCUCAUUAUCAAAUAACACUUAACAUAAUUAUUUAAAUAAAUAAAGUGAUUGCCAUUUGGAGGGAGAGACGAAAAGGGACAAAAUGUUUAUAUUAUUUGUAGUUAGGAUUUAGAUUUUCUCUCUCUUUUUUUUCUUCUUUUUUUUGUAAAUUGUCUUGGAAUUAACUUUGAUAAUUUAAAUUCAACUUAUAAAUGCAUAAUAUAUAUAUAUAUAUAUAUAUAUGGUUUUAUGUCAUCAAAUGAUUUAAUGGUUGACUUCUUCUCUAUUUUUUAUUUUUAUUUAACGAAUUUUAUAUUGCUAUUUUAUUUUAAUGUAGUUUUCUCAAAUUUCAAUUCUAUUUGCCUUUUUCUUCUUUGAACUUUAAGCACCUUUUUUAUGCAGUGUAUUUUGUAUAAAUUGAAAGGUUGAUGAGUAAUACACUGGAUUUUAUCAUAUUUAUCCCUUUAAUUUAGUGACUUUUUCUUUAAAACUUUGUUUUUUAAACUUAUAUCGUGAUUUAAAUACUAUUUUGGUUCUUUUACUUCUUUUCUUGAUUCACUUGGAUCUAUACAUUCUAAGGUAUUAGUUGUGGUGUUUGUAAUUUCGACUUUAGUCCUUUUUUUUUCUUAUACUUUCAACUUUGGUUUAUUUGGGUCAGCUUUUGAAAAAUGACAAUUUGAAUCCCUUUAAAUAAAAUUACAAAUGAAAUUAUUAAAAUGGUCACUUUUAAAAGUAUUAUAACUAAAAUUUAAAAUAUAAACAUGAAAAUUAACAUUUUGAAAGUGUAAUUAUGAGGAUCUAAGUGAACCAACUUUGAAAGUAUAUGGACUAAAUUGAACAUUUUAAAAGUAUAAGGACUAAAAUAAACUAAACUAAACUAAAAGUACAUAGAACAAAAUAAAUGUCGGAAUUUAUGUCAUGAAACUUAUAGUUUGUAAUUUAAAAUCAUAUUAUAUUCAAUAAAGUUGUUACUGAUGAAUUAUUAGUGAAAUUGAAUACUAUAAUCUUUAAUCCAAUAAAUUAAGAUCCUAAGGUUAUCUUGAGUUAACUUGAUGUAUAUUACUUGAACUUUAUAUAGAGACAUAAACAUAUAUUAAGUUUGAGUAUAUGGCAUGUGAAUAGUUAGGUUUGACGUCUUAUUUUAGAAAAACUAUGAAUGUGUUUUGCUUUGUAGUGAGUACAAACGAUAUGAUUUUGAAUCGUUCAUGUGAAGAUAUGAAAGUGGGGCAUCCUACGUAACGUAAAAAGUUUACAUAAAACUAUAACAAUGAAAUAAUCUAUUUUACGUCAUAACACCGUUUAUCGUAUAAAACUGACUAUUUUCAUUAUUGAUGACUUGAGUAAGUUAAUUUUAAUCAUGAAUUAACUAUGAACUCUUGUUCAUACGGGGCUAUCCUUAGAUUUUUAUAGGUGAGGGCAACUCAUCAGGGCUGGCCUAAUAAGCCUCCCAAUUCAAGAGUAAGAUCAGUGGAUAUAUAAAGGACACAUGAUGCAAAUUCACUCCUACUCGUUAUAGGGUUAGUAGAUAAGUUGUUCCCCUAAACACUAAAUAUAGGUCAUGAACAAGGGGCCCCACCCUCUCAUGGAUUCGGUUUAUAGGUCAAACCUUAAACCAACUAUUCAAUAGUAGAUCAAUUAGACUUCAAGAAAAAAUGUCAUAUCAUGGGUAAAAUGGUAAUUUUGACUCAACCCAAGAUUACGAACAUCCUAUGAAGGACUAACUUACCAAUCAUGCUCAUAUCAAAUAGACACAAAUGUAUCUAUAGUGAGGAGGAGCGCAACUACAAGACUUUAGUGAAAUAACUCGUUAGUUAAGGAAUGUUAGUUAGCUCGAUCUAAAAGGGUUUAGCCAGUUAAUCUCGGUUCGUUGGAACCCAUGAUCUGUAUAUCUAUUAGGUUCCUCUUCUACUCGUAUAAAAUUAACUUAAAACAGUAUGUUGGAUUAGUUCUAAUAGUUCGAAUUGGGUAGAGAGAGAGAAAUCGACAAGUAUAUGUGAUAUGAUGACCGAUUAUCAAUUUAUAAUUAGAGCUUUAUAUUUAAAUACAACUUAAAUAUAAAAAAAUAUAAAUGUUGGUUCAUAUUCGAAAUCUCGAGAAUGAUGAAAAUGGUCAAUGGUGUAAAAAGUUAAACUUUGAUCUACUUUAUAUUAAAAUGUAUUUUGAAUUUUAAAAAAAUGAAUGUGGAUUAAUGCUCGAGAGGUCAGAAUUAGUCAAGAUGGUAAAAAAAAUCAAAAUGUUGACUUUUGACUUUAAUUAGAAUGGUGAAAAUACCAUUUUACUCUUUGAUUAAAGUUAGUAGAAAAAUCCAACAUUUUGUUGGAUAAUCCCACUAAACAUUUAAUGGAGUAAGUGGUUGCAUAUGGUAUAAGAGAUAGUGGAUUGUGAGGUGUUAAACUUUGAUGAAUCAAUUACACGAGAGAAUGUAAAUUGUUUAUAAAAGGGCAAAUCUAAUUGUUCAAGAACUUGUCUCUUUUAUUAAUGUUUUACCUUGAAACUAAUUUCACCAAAGUAUUAUUUUUUCUCUCAACUCUAAGUCCAAUCUCCAAAUUCAAAUCCUUCACUUAUUAGGUCCUACUACUCGGUUCUUAAUUUAGAAAAUAGCGGAUCAAUUUAGUGGUAAUCUGGUUUGAGAUGGUGAGAAAGAUUACAAGUAAAUUAGGAGCUACAAAGGUAAAUUUUAUCUUUAACUCUAUUCCGGAGUUCCAUGUUAAUUAAGAGCAAUUAAGAUAAAAUUUUGAUCCCAUUUUUGCUUUGCAUAUAUAAAAUCCAUCAAAUACUAUUUAAACGUAUUUUUAAUCAUAAUAAUAAUUAAGAAACUUAUAACACAAUUGAAAGAUCUUUAAUUCAUUAUUACUAUUAUUUUUACGAUAUAAAAGUAUAAUGGUAGAAGUGUGAGUAUUUGAAAUUUAAAUGUUUGAGAAGAAUUACUAAAUCUUAUCGAUUAAAUUAUGUUAGAUAGAUCAACAAUCCAUUAUUACAAGAUUCAAUAACCAUUUACCAUUUUCUUGUCAUUUGUUUUUUUAGUUUAACCAUUAGAAAUUCAAAUUAAGGAUAUAUCUUAACUAGAUAGAUUAUGUUAUUUUUACGUAUAAACAAAGAUAAAUACAGGAAGAUAAUUGAUUCAAAAGCCAAAACUUACAAUCAUUUUUUCUAACUUUUUUUACAUCAUCAUUAACCAAAGCUACAAAACCAUCUUUUAAUUUUUAUUUUUCCUAUUAUUCUCAAUUUUCCAUCCUUCAUUUGCAUCGUUCAUCUUCAUUUUUCUCUUUUUCAUUUGUCACCGACCAUCAAAAUAUUGCAAGGUAUUGUCGUUGGUCAUCGAAACGUUGCUCAAAAAGUUGUAUGCACGAAAACAAGAUAGCAAAGAGCAUAGCAAGAACAGAUAGAGAGGAGACCAAGAGAGAGUGAAAGCAAGACAAUGAGAAAGAGGAAAGGAAGACAAUGAGAACGAGGAAAACAAGACAACGAGAGAGAGGAGAUUGAGCUAGCAAGACAACGAGAUAAUGACCGAAGGACAUAACGAAGAGCGAGAAUAAAAGGUGUCAAUCUCCAUGCACAAAGUUCCAUUUUGAUAAUUUCACUCAAAUAUAAGAUCAAUAAAGGAUCAAACAAACCUCAAUUUCGAAAGUAACCGAAUAUAUUUGUAUUUUUAAGUUUAAAGAUCAAUCAAACACAAACUUGAAAACAUUCCCACAUAGCUCAGAGACAUAAGAAAGUUUCAAAAUAUAAUUUGCUCAAUCACUAUUUAUAUGUUUCUCAUCUUGUCUUAAGAGAGUGAUAUCUAUAAUUCUUUUUUAAUACUCUUAGGUAUGUUAUCUCAAAGGACAAUCUUCAAACUUUAUUGCAUUUGGUUAUUAAUGUAACUUUUUAGGAUAUUAAAUUUUCUGCAAAUGGCCCUCUAAUCCUUUUACUAUUUAUACUGACUCUCCACUUCCAUGGAAACUUGAAUACAUAAUUUUGAUUACAAAAUAAUAAAGCUUCUGUUAGCAAUGAUACAUUGUGUAAUAAAUAAUGCAUUUUCUUUCCCAAUCAGAAAUUACUUUUAAAAAAUUCAGACCAACCAAAAGCUCUAUGAUCCUAUUCUAUUCAGCACAUUGAAUUAAUGUUGUUUGUCUACACAAAAUUCAGACUUUGUUACCUGAUGAAUGUUGCCAUCAGUGUCAUAAUUAAUACAGCCACAAUUGAAUGAAAUGCGUCAGCACUGGAUGCUGCACCAGAGAACUUGAAUCUCUGAGACUGAUCCCUGCAUAAAAGAAGACAUAAGAAAGAAUCUCUGUUUUGAUUCAUAUUGGUUUCGGUUUCGGUUUUUGUUUUUGUUUAGAUAGAUUUUUAGAUACAGUACUUAGUGUCAAAUCUUUCUUAUUGCUUUUAAACAAUGUUGUUAAAAGUACAGUUGUUUAUUUUGAUUCAUCAAGACAAAAAAAAUAUAUAUUUUGAAGGAUUUCUGGAAUGCAAACUAGCAGAUUCAAUCUCAAUCCAAUGGGAACAUGGUACGAACAAACAAGAAGAGAAUGAGGCUAAGGACUUACUUUUGUAAGGAAGAAAGAAGGCCGCAGUAUAUGGUAUUAUCAGGCAUAGGUAUCUCACUUUUGUCAAUCUCUGGAUUUACAACACUCACAUAAAGUUCUUGGCCCAAAUACCACGAGUCGAGAUUUUCGGAACGAAGAUUCCAUAUGCCAGCAUUGUCAAGGGACACUAGAACUGCAGUCCAAGCUCCAGGAAAAACCUUGAACCACGAAAAAACCGAUAAGAGUUUGAUCGUUCACUCUGUGAGUAAUCCAUAUAGUAUAGUCUGUCUCAAUGACACCAUAAAUCAUUCACUCCAGCCAUGAUCCAUCAGUUCUCCCUUUUAUUUUUGUACUAGUUUGUUCCCUCUACCAUUAUGUCUUUUAUAAAAUCCCCAAGCACAUGCUUCAAAGAAAUUUUAUAAAAUUUUGUUUCAAACUUUUUCUGUUUCUUCCCUCUAUACAGCAAGAUUAGAUGGGCUAGUUACCUGUGUCGAGCAUCGGGCAACACCAUCCCACUUAUUGUAAGUCCCUCGGCUAUUUUCAGUCCAAACUCCAAAAUCCAUGCUGCAUCAUAAACAGGUUUCAAUUAAAUUUGAAGUCCUAAAAGUUAGCAAAAAGUAUAAGAUAUUAAAAUUCAAUACUCACCCAACAACGAAAAAUGCAUAGCCAUCCAAAUGGUAGGUCUGAACAUUUUUGUCACUGUUUUGAAAAAUAAUCUCCAUAAAACCUUUGAAAGUACCAUUAAUCAGAGACGUGUCGAGUUUGGGAGGCCUAUUCAUCAUUUGAUUCGGAAAAUCGAGUUUGUAGACACCUGGAAUGCUAAAUUGUUGAGCAUGUUUAAGUGGAGUUGAAGGUGUAAAGUAUGAUAAGCCAUUGAGGGUCCUUCUCCAUUUCCCAUUUAUAAGCUCUGAAGGUCGGUUUAGUAUCACAUAUACAUCUGUGACAGUGAUUUGACCAUAAUUGAAAGAUCCCUGUGGGUUUGGACGAGCAGCACCGGCAGAAACAUUCCAUCUAACCAUAAGAAGAAUUGCAAAAGUGAGACAACCUAGUAAAAUAAAGCAAUUGCAUGCAUGUGAUGAAAUAGAAUUAAGUAAGAUUUUGGAGAAAGCAAAAUUCUUCCAUUGACGUAGCUCUCUUCAGUCUAAAGCAAACAAAAUUGAGUUAAGAACUUGUACACCUACCACCGGAGAGAAAUGAACAUUGAUUGACAACAAUUCUAGUCCUAAAGACAAAUGAACAAAAGACCAUAUCAAUGAUGUUUGCAUAUUUUGUUUUCUUUUAACAAGAUUCUGUUCUUUUCUUUUCUUUUGCUUGUGGCAAUGAAAUGGGAAAGCUAUCUUGUUACCAAAGAGAAUAUGUAACUAACUACAACCUUAUAGAUCUUGCUUGAUUCAUUGAGAAAAAUGUGUCCAAUUCAUUAGGAGGAUCAGGAAGAGGACCUGAAGCAGGUCCCUGGGAAUUAGAAUAGUGCAGGAUAGCCACUCCGGUAGUUCCAGCCAGAGAAGAUGAAUUUAGUAAUCUAGAGCUGGCAACAAUGUAGUAAUCACUGCUAGCAUUUUGGUCCAUCAUGACCAAAAAUGAGUAUGAUUGACCCACAUGAAUAUCCAUAUUUUCGUAAGCCUGCUGAACUGUGUAUGAUCCUUCCGUCUCAACCAAAAGUAAGUUGUGACUUUGUAUUCUAAAAUUCAAACUCGUUGAGAUUCCAACAUUGUGCACUCGGAGGCGAUAUGUUUUCCCUGGUUAAGAUUAAGAUUAAUUUCCAAAACUUAGUCACCAAUAGUAUACAAGAGAAAUGGUAAUUACGACAAGUGAAAGCUGAAUAUCCACAGUUUGUACUGCAUGUAAACAUUGAAUAAUUGAAGACGGUCUUUAGGUGCGAGAGCAAAGUGUGAAAUCCUAUGUUGCAGAAGAGCUAAUGGAAAAUAUAAUGGAGGAAAGCAUACAAAAAUAUACAAUUUGAAGCUUUUUUUUUUUUGGGUGGGGGGAGAGAGAGAGACUUUGAAGCCAUAAGAUUUAGAUUUUCAAGGAAUAAAACAAAACUCCGAAAGUCCUCAUGUAAAAUCAAAUCUUAUCCAACUUUUCUCCUCAGACUGUGUCAUGUCAAUUUCAAAAUCUACCAAGAAUGGGUAAUGAUCUUCAGUGAACUAUCACAAUAUCAAAUUAGAACACUGUAAAUAAUCUUAUUAGAUAUUUUCAACUUAGAAUCAGACACUAAAGAAUACCCUAGCGUGGCUUCAUGAUCUAUCCAUACGAUUACAUUAGGAUUCAAUGGGAUCCAACGAUAGAAUAAGUUGAAUACCUUAUGUAGAUUUGUAAGCCACUUUAGGCUUCAAUGCUAAGACCGUUUUUAUCAGUAUAACUGAGAAGAGAGAUCAAAGUUUGGAGCUACAUUACUGGGAAGGUGAAGAUUUCCACUAAGAACUUCAGUCAUACGUUGUAGGUCAGUAUUAAGAGUCUUAAGACAAGGAAAACUUAUCAGAAGCAGCCACCACAAUCACAAUUGUUAACGCAGGGAGGGGAAAGCCUCUAUUUUUCUCUCUUCAGUGUCUCUCAAGCUCUUAAGAGUGACAAUCAUAUUGAAACUUUUCUUGACUAUGCAACUGCGACCUAGUUAACUGCCUAGACAUGAAUUGGAUAAAAAGAAAAUUUACCCUUCCAAGCCAUCGCUCCAACUUCCAAUUUUGGGAAUGGAGUCCUUACUCCUUAGAUGAUUGAUUUAAUAUGGUUUAAACUUGUCACUGUAGUAGAGGCACAUUUAAGAAGUCUUUGAAAAACCAUCUCCCAUUGCAUCCCCUACAUUAAUAGUUUCAUUAAAUUCAGUGGGAAAUGAGCUCACUGCUAGCACUCCCUUCUAGGAAGAUUCUAGAUUGAUAAUAAUCUUCAAGUCAUUUCCUCUGCCUCUUUAGUCUGCAGUCUGUACUUCGAAAAAGGGUGGGUUAACUCUGUUAUAAUUCCUAAUAACAAAUUUUAUAAUUAUUCUAAUUUUCGAAGGCUACUUUGGGACUUCACGGCUCAAGAUUUGGCUAAUCUUUUUUCGUUGUUAUGAGAGAUCUGCCGUUCCUCAACAUCAAAUGAAUUUUGCAAGUGGAUUCUCAAACUGUCAAAUAUCCUUCUUGUUAAGCAUUAUUUUGCGCCAUUUGGUGUCUCAGCCAGAUUUUCUAGUCUCCCAUAUAUUCACCUUGAGCCAGAAGGUCUAAAUCUUGAAGAACAUCAGGUUUUUGAUUGGUUGGAUUCGUAGAAGAGGCUAAGCACCAUAAACUUCACCCAAAACUCAACUGUAGUUUUAUGUCCCCAGGGCCUCAGUGGCAUGUAAUGUGUAAGAGCUCUAACAAAGAUCCUGAUCAUACAUUUAGGAGUUUGCUAUAAACUUUAAAGGGAAUGCCUGAACACAACUGAAGGAAAUUUGGUCCCUACAAAAGGUUGUGGGGAAGUGAUAAAAGGGGCGCAAAUCCCACUUCCUAUAGUAGUAGAAGUCAGAUUUUUUUGCUAAUUUGUGAAACAGAUAGCUUGAGAAAUCUUGGAGAGCCUUUAAAGACAGAAGAAUGUUGAGGUGAAACAAGGAACAUUUCAAUGCCUCGCUCUCGGUGUUCUCAUUUGGAGUAUUUUGCAAUCAUCCUCGUCUUCUCUUAACAGUUAAAGAAAAUCCAUUUCAAGUUUGUUUUACAGUUCUUUUUCCUUAAUGAGAGUUAGUGAAAUGUCAUAAUAAUUAAUUUUUCCCUGCAAAAGAGUCAUGAAUUCAGUCACAUACUAAAAUAAAAUCCAUGAUAAAAAUAAAACUUACCAGGUUCAACGUUUAUUGUAUGAAAAGGAAUGCCAUCAGAGACAAGAGCACUAUCAAAGCGAAAAGGACCCUCUCCAUUGAUGAGAAUACCAUCAGGAACACCAAGGUGAAUCCCAUUCUCAACAUCUUUCCUUAAUUCCUACAAUUUUCAUUAUCGCCAUCAAACAUGAAAUCAAGACAGGGAAAGCGAAAUCAGGUUAAAAGUUACUGAUAAUCAUCAGUGAAAGCAAGAAGCCACUCAGGCUUGAUACUGACCUUAUGACCCUUAGUAUACCAAUCACUAAUGAAGAUUGUGAUAUCUCCAUCAGGCACCGAAAAAGGCAAUGGAAUAACGUCCCUGUUAUUUAUGGUGAUUCCUCCAUAUCCACCAGCAGCUCUCUGAAAGUUCAAGGAAGGGAAGUAAAAGAAACUCCCUAUUUGAUCUUUGACCUGAAACUGAUAUGUCCAGUUCCACCCAGCAGGGAUUGGACAAUUAGUCCCAGAAACACCAUCUUGCCAAGAGUUUUUUCUGUGUUGUAUACCAUUCCUGAAUUAAAAAUUAACAACAAAAUCACUACUUCGAGAACUUGCUACAACUUUUGUUUCUUAACUUUCAACUUUUUAUUUAAACUUUAGAAAGUUAAAAUUAUGUCUCUAAGUUUUGAAUGGUAAUUUUACGAAGUCUCCACCAUUUACAUUGCUAACUAGAUUAUGAUGUCACAUGCUAAUCCAACAUACGUUGAGUGAUCGAAUGAUUUGGCACUCUCUCUUUCUGAAGCAAGAUAUCAAUUCUAUUUUAUAGCUCAUACCAAACUAUUUCAUCCAAUUGUCUGCUUCUUUGUACAAUUUGUGUACCACAUCGUGCUGAAUUGCCAACAUUUGUCUAAUAUGCAUAAUAUAUCAUUCUUGAAUUAAUGGAAUAUGGAAUCGCAGUUCAAACUUUUAAAAACAUAAUUAAACAGAUUUUAAGCAUCUGAACUAAAACGUGACACUUACAAAGUCCAGGUACUAAAUUUGGUAGCUUAACGUACAUUUUUUCAAUCCCUUUAGUGAAUGUAGUUCAUACCAUGUCAAAAGUAAAGGCUCAUCGAGGUCAUUUUUAACGUUGACAACAACAUUCCAGUUCGUAGUUACAUUGAGCACAGGUCCAGGAAACUGUCCGUUAAUCCCAAUGACCUGUGAAUAUAAUUACAUAAAAUAAGAAGUCAGUAAGGAGACAAAAACAUAUCGGAAUUUGCAGUUCCAAGUCCACAAGACCACAUUAGAAGAAAGUUGAAACUAAAACAAACUUCACUGAAAACAGAAUCUGAAUUUUCUCCCUCUGCCAAUCAAGAAAACUCCAAAGUAAUGAGUCAAAUACCAACAAAACCACCCAAUAUUUUCAUAACAAUCAUGAGUCCUUAAGACUUUGGUUUUGAUUUCAUCCAAACAAAAAACAGAUAUCCUUACUUAUACACCUAUGAUUUUCCUUCUCCUUAUCCAAUGUUAAAUAAAACAGUAGAAACGCACAACUUCCACAAUUAAGGAAAUUUAUAACUCUUUAAGGUAUGUUAUAAGAACAUAUCUCUAUUAUUCUUCAGAUUAAAUUUCAGUUUGGUCCCUGUAAUUUGAAAUUAAGUCACGAUCUUCUCGAGCAAGAUGUGUUCCAUAGAUUGUACAACUAUGUCCUUGAGUUAAAGUUUUAAUUAAGCCACUAAAGUUUAGACUUAGUUUCACUUUUAUCCGAACGUUUGAUAAAACCUCACAAAUGGUCCAUAAACCAUCUUUCAUCCACCUAUUUCCUUACUUUUUUCUAAACUCAGUUCUAUGCUCAAUUAUAGUAAACCAACCCAGUUAACCAAAUACACUAUAUCAAUCCAGUACCACCAUACAUUAAAAAUUAGAAAUUUAUUUUAAACGGCACAUCUUCUAAAAAAAAUAUUUACAAAUAUAGCAAAAUAUAUAAUUAGACGAGGAUAGACGGCUUUCAUAUAUAUAUAUAUACCAAGAGAAAUGCCUGGAAAUCCCCAUAGUUCCAACAUGAAAUUUGCAGAAGAAAGAAAAAAGAAGAGUAAGAAUGAAGAGAAGAAACCUUCUGUUUGAGUCCAAGUGGAGAAGCAGAGAUGUAGGAGACAGUCCAAUCGAAGAAGACGUAGGGGUCACUUGCAAGAGCAUAUCUUUUGAGGCAUAAGAAAAGAAAAACAGAGAGAGGAAGUAAAAGGUUGAAGAAACGAAGCCAUGGCAUGGGGAUUGAGGAAGUUUGGAAAAUGGGAAAAAGGGUGAAGAUAUGAUUAGAUUAUCCAAUGGGGGAGUCUGAGAAGGAAGAAGAAGAAGAACUGACAAGUGCAGAAGAGUGAUGCAUUUUCACAUGGGGAUUUGAGAAAGGAGGAGAUGCCGACAGAGUUUGCCAAUUGGGUUUAUGGGUCCCAAAAGAGUUGAAAAAGUCAUCUCAUUUCAACGAUUUGAUUCAUAUUUUUUGGAUCAGAUCUUAAUUCCAAAAACGUUAUAUUCUCAUUCAACCAUGCAAGUUUUCAAAAUCAGUGAGUUCUAUUCAUUUUCUCUUCAUGUGGAUCCAUCCUUGUUUUAACAAUGCACAUUUGAACUCAUAAUCAUGAGAGAAAGAGAACAUGUGAAAACAAAGCGUUUCCAUAAAAAGAGUUUGAAAAUAUUUGAUACUUAGAUCAAAUUUUCCAUUGCUAAUAGAAUUAAGUUUUAUAAAACAAAAAAGAUUUGAACAACUCUAUUGUGGGCCAAAGCUCUAUUCUCUUUGUUGAUGAAGAGUUUGCAAUGUGAAAAGGCCAAUCUUUGGUUCCUUUUUUCUAAAGAAAAGAAGGAAAAAAGUGAAGCACUUUGGACCAAAUGGAUGACAAAUCAUUGAAGCACUUAUAGUUAAAGUUGUAUAAUUUAAUCUUUUGUUGGGACAAAAAAUAUAUAUACACAAAACUUUGCUUUCUAAUCUUUAUCUUUUCUACAUUUUAAUAUUUAAUCUCAACUUUUGUUGUUUUAGUAUUUAGUAACAUUAAUUUUUACGUCAACACGAAUCAACUCGAAUUCUGAAUUCUUGUGUAGACAGUGUUGAACUCAAAAGAAAAAAGGAAAAUCUUCGUUCUCGUUUUUUAUGUGAUAAUUUCAAUACGACUUAAAAUAAAUAAUUUUUUGAAAUACAAGCAUGGUUUUGUUUCAAAAGUUUUUGUUUAGUAUCGAGUUUUUUUGUGUCAAACUUUAUUGUUUUUCUUCAAGAAUAUUGACGGAUUAGUUUCUUGAAAUGUAAAUAUGUUGAAGGAAUUUUUUUUGGAAGUAUAGAGUAAAAUUAAAUUAAAAUAAAUUAGAGUUUUUAGGAAAAGUAUAAUAAAAAAAUUGAAAGUGCAAUCACAAAAAAAGUUGUAUUGAAAGAGACCCAAAUUUAAAGGCAAUUAAAUAAUUAAAACACAGUAUUGAACUUCCAAUUUUAUUAUAUUUUGAUGUUUAAAUUUUUAAUGUUUACGUUGGUAUAAAAAGAUGAUUAUCUUAAUCAUUAUCAUUACACUACCAUUAAUCAUUUAACAAAUAUAUAAUAUAUUUUUUAUUUUUAUGAUAGAUUAUUAUUACUGUCGAACAAAUUAUUUUAAAUAACAAAACUUUUGAAAAUAUUCACAAAUAUAGUAAAAUAUCACAACAUGUUUGUAAUAGAUCAAAAUAUAUCGUUAUCUAUAUAUAUCAUAAUAAUAUAUACUCAGACAGUAGUCUAUAUUUAUCUAUUGCGGUCUACCGUAGAUAAACUAUAAUAUUUUAAAAAUAUUUUGGUUUAUUUUGCUACAUUUUGGAAAUAGCUAUUUUUUUAAUGGCUAAAUCUUGUAAAAUAUUGAAAAUAUAACAACAGUGAGACGAGAAAAUUUGGCAAACUUUAGAACUCCUAUCAAUAAUACCUUUAAAUUUAAGAAAUGUGAUACAAGUUGCUAUCACUAAUAUCUUUUAUCAACGAUAUUGCUAUCAACCUAAAAUCAUAUCAAUGACAUAAUCUAUUAAUGAUUGCACCGGAAGGAUAUCACUGAUAGCAACUAUAAGUAAUAUCAUUAGUAAGAUAUUUUUAUAAGUAACCUCUCUCCUUAGUAAAUAUAUCAAUUUUGAAAUGAUAAGGUUUAAUUAGGCUAUUAAUUGAUAUUUUUUAUAGCUACUAUUAGUGAUAUUCUUAUAUUACUAACACUUGUAAUAUCUAUCAACGAUAGCAAUAGAAGCAUAUCA
rnacentral:lncRNA from 1 species